UGUAUUCUUUUCUGCACUUUCUAAUGCUUCAUAAUCAUCUUGGGAAACAGAAGCUAUCAUAUGAAUAAAAGAAUCUGAAAAGUCAGCAGGCUGAAGUGUGAAAGCAGAGUUGUAAGGCUCCAGUGUUGCCAGCAUUUCAGAACCAGAGAGAACAGGGAUGAAAAUAGUCAUGGAGGGAAGGGUUCCAACUGAUGAUCUUCAAGUUAGGCAGUAAAGAUGGGCACCUGCUCUUCUUUUCCAAGAGAUGAUUUCUUGUUCAAGGACCUUUCGCCUUCCUGGUCUCAGAUCACACACCGGAAGAAGGCCUGUUACUUUUGGAGGAACUUACUGACCAGAGGUAGUUCGUGGCCAUAGAAGAUGGUGAGUUUUGACCAUUUACUGGUCUAAAUUCUCUAUUCUGUAUUCUCUGAAGCUUAAGUCGAAGCAACAGAAGUUACUAUACCAUACUAUAUCGGAUUGGUGUUUUUAAGAUAUAGGGCAUAUUAGAAAAGGCCAGGCCUGGGUUCACAUCCUGGCUCAGACACUUACUGGCUGUG